rnacentral:rRNA from 1 species
AUUGAACGCUGGCGGCAGGCCUAACACAUGCAAGUCGAACGAGUGGCGGACGGGGGAGUAAUGUCUGGGAAACUGCCCGAUGGAGGGGGAUAACUACGGGAAACGGUAGCUAAUACCGCAUACCAUCGGAUGUGCCCAGAUGGGAGUAGCUAGUAGGUGGGGUAAUGGAUCACCUAGGCGACGAACCCUAGCUGGUCUGAGAGGAUGACCAGCCACACUGGAACUGAGACACGGUCCAGACUCCUACGGGAGGCAGCAGGGGGGAAUAUUGCACAAUGGGCGCAAGCCUGAUGCAGCCAUGCCGCGUGUAUGAAGAAGGCCUUCGGGUUGUAAAGUACUUUCAGCGGGGAGGCGUUACCCGUAGAAGAAGCACCGUCUAACUCCGUGCCAGCAGCCGCGGUAAUAC